GGUUCCACGGUGUAGCGGUUAGCACAUCUGCUUUACACGCAGAAGUACUGGGUUCACGCCCCAGUGGAGCCA
rnacentral:tRNA from 1 species